AGCCUGAACGCUGGCGGCGUGGUUAAGACAUGCAAGUCGUACGGAUGUAGCAAUACAUCAGUGGCGAACGGGUGAGUAAUGAAUCGCUAACGUGCCCCGGACUCUGGGAUAGCUGACCGAAAGGGCAGGUAAUACCAGAUGAUAUAACUCUGUCGCAUGACAGAGUUCUCAAAGGUCCGCCGGUCUGGGAGCGGGCGAGUUUCGUAUCAGCUAGUUGGUAAGGUAACGGCUUACCAAGGCGACGACGCGUAGCCGGACUGAGAGGUUGGCCGGCCACAUUGGGACUGAGACACUGCCCAGACUCCGUACGGGGGGCUGCAGUAACGAAUCUUCCGCAAUGCACGAAAGUGUGACGGAGCGACGCCGCGUGUGGGACGAAGCCCUUCGGGGUGUAAACCACUGUCAGGGGAAGAAGUUCUGAUCUACCCAGAGGAAGAGGCGGCUAACUCUGUGCCAGCAGCCGC
rnacentral:rRNA from 1 species